GACGAACGCUGGCGGCGUGCCUAAUACAUGCAAGUAGAACGCAGUUGCGACCGGGUGAGUAACGCGUCGGUAACUGCCUCAUAGCGGGGGAUAACUAUUGGAAACGAUAGCUAAUACCGCAUUCUGUGAGCUGGACCUGCGUUGUAUUAGCUAGUUGGGGAGGUAAAGGCUCACCAAGGCGACGAUACAUAGCCGACCUGAGAGGGAGAGCGGACACACUGGGACUGAGACACGGCCCAGAAUCCUACGGGAGGCAGGAGUAGGGAAACUUCGGAAAUGGACGGAAGUCUGAACGAGCAACGGCGCGGGAGUGAAGAAGGGUGUCGGAUCGGAAAGCUCUGUUGUUAGAGAAGCGGUAACUAAACAGAAAGGGACGGCUAACUACGUGCCAGCAGCCGCGGUAAUAC
rnacentral:rRNA from 1 species